rnacentral:rRNA from 1 species
AGAAUCAACGCUGGCGGCGUGCCUAACACAUGCAAGUCGCACGAGAAAGGGUAGCAAUACCUGAGUACAGUGGCGCACGGGUGAGUAACACGUGAAUGAUCUACCUCCGAGUGGGGAAUAACUGAGAGAAAUCUUAGCUAAUACCGCAUAAUACCCACGGGUCAAAGCAGCAAUGCGCUUGGAGAGGAGUUCGCGGCCGAUUAGUUAGUUGGCGGGGUAAUGGCCCACCAAGACGAUGAUCGGUAUCCGGCCUGAGAGGGCGCACGGACACACUGGAACUGAAACACGGUCCAGACUCCUACGGGAGGCAGCAGUGGGGAAUUUUGCGCAAUGGGGGAAACCCUGACGCAGCAACGCCGCGUGGAGGAUGAAGCCCCUUGGGGUGUAAACUCCUUUCGAUCGGGAAGAUAAUGACGGUACCGAUAUAAGAAGCCCGGCUAACUUCGUGCCAGCAGCCGC